GACGAACGCUGGCGGCGUGCUUAACACAUGCAAGUCGAACGAAGUGGCGCACGGGUGAGUAACGCGUAAUCAACCUGCCCUUCAGAGGGGGACAACAGUAGGAAACGACUCCUAAUACCUCAUACUGAAGGAGGGGAUUGCGUCGGAUUAGCUCGUUGGAGGGGUAACGGCCCACCCGGGCGAUGAUCAGUAGCCGGUCUGGGAGGAUGAACGGGCCACACGGGACCGGGGAAAGGCCCAGACUGCUACGGGAGGCAGGAGUGGGGGAUGUUCCGCAAUGGACGGAAGGCUGGCGGAGUGACGGCGGGUGAGUGGUGACGGCCUUCGGGGUGUAAAGCUCUGUUAAUCGGGGCGCGGUACCGGAAUAGAAAGCCACGGCUAACUACGUGCCAGCCGCCGCGGUAAUAC
rnacentral:rRNA from 1 species